rnacentral:rRNA from 1 species
CCUACGGGGGGCUGCAGUAGGGAAUAUUGCACAAUGGGCGAAAGCCUGAUGCAGCAACGCCGCGUGAGUGAAGAAGGCCUUCGGGUCGUAAAACUCUUUUCAAGGGAAAGAGGAAGGACGGUACCCUUGGAAUAAGCAUCGGCUAACUACGUGCCAGCAGCCGCGGUAACACGUAGGAUGCGAGCGUUAUUCGGAUUUACUGGGCGUAAAGCGCGUGUAGGCGGUUAGGAGAGUUGGAUGUGAAAGCUCCCGGCUUAACUGGGAGAGGUCGUUCAAAACUUCCUGACUAGAGUUUGGUAGAGGAAAAUGGAAUUCCGGGUGUAGUGGUGAAAUGCGUAGAUAUCCGGAGGAACACCAGUGGCGAAAGCGAUUUUCUGGACCGAUACUGACGCUCAGACGCGAAAGCUAGGGUAGCAAACGGGAUUAGAUACCCCUGUAGUC